UCCAGAAUUGGUGUAAUGGUAGCACAGGGGUCCCUAAAACCCUGCGUCUGAGUUCGAAUCUCAGAUUUUGG
rnacentral:tRNA from 1 species